GUGUUAGUUGUGAGUACAUGGAACGAUGACUGGCUACAAAUCACAACAGCUCGAGGAUUUAUUAAAUCCUCUGCCCAAGUUCACGGAUCCAGGGGAUGAUAAUGAUAUACACUAUUUGUAAUGUUUUAUAGAGACGAAAGCCAAGGUGGUAGAGGCAUUUGAGGGUGGUGGCGAUGAUGUGGUUGCCUUGAGUGGCCUCCGGAAUAAAGCUAGAACUCUGCUGGAAGAGACAGACAAACGGUACCUGGGCAAGGCAACCUCGUAAAGACAUGCUAAAGGGGAUCGAAUGUUCUGGAGAGGAUGAGGACAAUGAUGAUGAAAACAAGGAGGAAGCUGAAGAUGACAAUGUUGAUGAUGCUGAUCUGGAGGAUGGAGAGGCUGAAGAUGGAGAUGAUGAAAAGAUUGAGAGUGACACUGCUAAGAAGAAAAGCUUGGUGUCUAAGCAGAAGGAGACGGACAUCACACUUCCCUCAGAGACAGACUUACAUAAGCUAACAGAGGGGAUGGAUCACUGGAGAGAGCGAAGAGGAGGAUGAUGAUGAUGAUGAAGAAAGUGGCGAUGAGGAUGGAGGGAACGAGGAAGAUGAGGAUGAACAGAUGGAGGAUGACGAUGUGGGAGCUGUGAUGAUAUUUUCUUAAGAGAAGGUGGAUGAAGAGGUGGAGAAAGGGAAAGCUUGGAAAGAUCAACUUGCUCUUUGGGACCAGCUACUUGAGGGGCAAAUGAAUGUGCAGAAAGCUCUUCUGACAGCCAAUAAGCUGCCACAACCACAUACCUUCCCAUAGUUCAAGAAGAGGGGUGGAGCAGUGUUUGCUGGAGCGUUGAAGAAUAGUCACAAAGCCCUGAAGGCUCUCCACUGGAGCUACAGGACCAGCUGCUCCAUCAGAACCCAGACAAUAGGCCCAUCUCCCUGGGUAAGACCUGGGGAGCACACAGAAACAUCCUCACCCAGGUGGAACAGGUGCUGAUGGACAAGAAGAGCCUGCUUAGACACACCCAGACCAGACGCUCAGAGUACAGAGUCCUGGGCAAGCUAGAGGCCACAGCCCCCCUACCUGAGACCACCACUGCAGAGGGAUAUAGGAUAGGGAACUUGUUGCGAAAGCAGCCUGAGAGUGUGUAUUGACGUGUCCACCUUUUGACUGUAAACAGGGCUCGACAUUAACGCUUGUCCACGGCAAGUCAAAUCACAAUAUCAAGCAAUUACUCUGAUCAGAAUUGGAUCAUUUGUCCUCUGGAUGCGAUGUAUUGCUGUUCUCCCAAUUUCUGCAGAGCGCAUCAAGUAGGACUAUUAUAUUGACAGGCAGGAGCAGCCUGUCAAUCUUCCCUGGUUGUGAGCGUUUGAGAUCAAAACACGUAACCAUAUGUACUAAUUAGCAAGGAAUGUAUAUUCCUUGCUAAUUAGUGAGUUAUUUCCACAGUUAUAGCAACUUUUUGGUCAGCAAACAGGGUUUGUACGGUCCCAUGCUGUCAAUAGAUCUACCCUGAAACCGGAAUAUUCUAGCCCUACAAGUUUAUAUAUAAACAUGCCUUAGUUACCUUGCUUUGAAAUAGCCAACUUUAGCCAUUUGAUCCCUGAUACAAUUAGUACAUUUAUUUUUAUAUAGAUGAAAAGUAUUUAGUUGUACUUGUAAUCUAAUGUUGCAAUAUUUUAUAGGCUAUGAAGGGUGGCCAACCAUCCUCCAGAAGAGCCUUAAAGGGGCAAUGUUGUAUUUUGAGACAGGCUUGAAUAUACAAAGAAGCCAAUAGACAGAGGAUAGCCUACAUUUUCGUCUCAUGGUAAUUGGCCUAAUAACUAAUUGUAGUUUGAAAAGUGGUUCCUUGGAUCAUACAACACCAUUUUUACUCACCCCCCUAAAGUUAACUGUACAAGAAGCACUUUAGUUAAAGGCCCAGUGCAGUCAAAGAUGGGAGUUUCCUGUGUUUUAUAUAUAUUUCCACACUAUGAGAUUAGAAUAAUACUGUGACAUUUAGUAAAUUAUGAUAAUUUCAUUUUAGUGUAAGAGCUGUUUGAAAAGACGACCUGACAUUUCAGCCUGUUUUGGUGGGAUGGAGUUUUGGCCUGCCUGGUGGCAUCACCCGGCUGUAAAAUUAUUUCAUAGAUCAAUAAGAAAGAGCGUUUCAGACCACUCUGCCAAUAACAGCUAGUUUUCAGUUUUCCCUUCCCCACUCAGACCAUUCCCAGACAGUCCUAGCAUAAAUCUUGCUUGAGAAAUUGCUAUUUGCUAAAAACUCACCAGAAGUGACCCGGUGGAGCAAGCAGAGCGAGGCGGUGGAAAGAAUGGGACAGGCAGAGCAGUGACUGUAUGCAAGCAGGAUAGUCCAUAUCGCCAAUAAUCUUUGCUGAGAGCAAUGUUGUGUUUCCAAAAGUGGAUGAAUUGGCCUAAUUUAGCACGUAUGCUAAAGCCUCAACACAUAGCUGUCUCUUCCAAUUCAAAUGAGCUAAAACAAAUGGUAAUAAUGACUACAUUAAAAU